GAUGAACGCUGGCGGCGUGCCUAAUACAUGCAAGUCGAGCGAACGGACGAGAAGCUUGCUUCUCUGAUGUUAGCGGCGGACGGGUGAGUAACACGUGGAUAACCUACCUAUAGGACUGGGAUAACUUCGGGAAACCGGAGCUAAUACCGGAUGAUAUUUUGAACCGCAUGGUUCAAAAGUGAAAGACGGUCUUGCUGUCACUUAUAGAUGGAUCCGCGCUGCAUUAGCUAGUUGGUAAGGUAACGGCUUACCGAGGCAACGAUGCAUAGCCGACCUGAGAGGGUGAUCGGCCACACUGGAACUGAGACACGGUCCAGACUCCUACGGGAGGCAGCAGUAGGGAAUCUUCCGCAAUGGGCGAAAGCCUGACGGAGCAACGCCGCGUGAGUGAUGAAGGUCUUCGGAUCGUAAAACUCUGUUAUUAGGGAAGAACAUAUGUGUAAGUAACUGUGCACAUCUUGACGGUACCUAAUCAGAAAGCCACGGCUAACUACGUG
rnacentral:rRNA from 1 species